rnacentral:ribozyme from 1 species
GGGAAGUUCAAAGAAGACGUUGGGUUUUACCGCCGGGGGGAUGCGCAAGCGGGGCCUCUGCCCGCCCAGCCCGCGCUCGUGCUCCCCGCGGGCCACUCGCACA